AUGGCGCCCAAGGCCGAGAAGAAGCCGGCGGCGAAGAAGCCCGCGGAGGAGGAGCCCGCGGCGGAGAAGGCCGAGAAGACUCCCGCCGGGAAGAAGCCCAAGGCCGAGAAGCGGCUGCCGGCGGGGAAGUCGGCCGCCAAGGAGGGCGGCGACAAGAAGGGCAAGAAGAAGGCCAAGAAGAGCGUGGAGACGUACAAGAUCUACAUCUUCAAGGUGCUGAAGCAGGUGCACCCCGACAUCGGCAUCUCCUCCAAGGCCAUGUCCAUCAUGAACUCCUUCAUCAACGACAUCUUCGAGAAGCUCGCCGGCGAGGCCGCCAAGCUGGCGCGGUACAACAAGAAGCCAACCAUCACGUCCCGGGAGAUCCAGACCUCCGUCCGCCUCGUCCUCCCCGGCGAGCUCGCCAAGCACGCCGUCUCCGAGGGCACCAAGGCUGUCACCAAGUUCACCUCCUCUUAG
rnacentral:rRNA from 1 species